rnacentral:tRNA from 1 species
GCCAGCGUGACGGAAUUGGUAGACGUAUCGCUACAGCGGUCCUGGAAACAGGUGCGGGUUCGAUCCCCUGCCGUUGGCA